UAGAUAUCAAUUCGUCAGUUAAUUUGCACAUAAUUUCAUGCAGCAAGCAGUUUGUGCUCAUUGUCGACCUAUAAUAAUUUAAAUAAAACCGUUGAAAGGAGACUCAUUUUGUGAACCAUCAUGGAUAACAGAAGAUGUGAAGCUUGCGGUACCACAGAGGUCUGGCACACUAGAAACAAAAAGUUGAAGUUGCUUUAUUUCAAGUUUCCUCCGGAUCAAGACGUCUGCCGAGAGUGGUUAAGACUAAUUGGAAAUGAGGAAUUAGUACAUCUACCAACGAUAAAGCUGCAAAAGGAAAAAUAUGUCUGCGAAAACCACUUUGCAGAAAAUGAUUUCAACAAAAAAGGCAAUCUUCUGAAACGACAUGCAAUACCAACUUUAAAUAUGAAUGCGUCGCCUCUCACUGAUGAACAAUUGGCAAAAUUUCCAGUACAUAUGUUUAGGCAUUCGGAGGAAAAAGGUUUUUAUCCAUCAGCUGAACAAACUGAACAAAAUGAAAAUAUCUAAGAAUAAAAGCAUAAACUUUUAAGUAUUGAAUUAGAUAUGUAAAUAAGUAAUCAGGUAAAAAUAAUAAAAUAUU